rnacentral:rRNA from 1 species
UACGUAGGGUGCAAGCGUUAAUCGGAAUUACUGGGCGUAAAGCGUGCGCAGGCGGUUUCGUAAGUCUGUCGUGAAAUCCCCGGGCUUAACCUGGGAAUGGCGAUGGAGACUGCGAGGCUAGAGUUUGGCAGAGGGGGGUAGAAUUCCACGUGUAGCAGUGAAAUGCGUAGAGAUGUGGAGGAAUACCGAUGGCGAAGGCAGCCCCCUGGGAUAACACUGACGCUCAUGCACGAAAGCGUGGGGAGCGAACAGG